rnacentral:ncRNA from 1 species
GAAAACAUGUUGAAGAGUAGAGUACAGAAUUUAAUUUUCUUAGAGAGCUUUCGGUUGGUGCAAGAAAGUGAAAAUUAGUUUUGGAAGAUGGACUCGGAGUGGCAACGGUGAAUUUUUAGCUGUUGACGUGGUUGCGGACGUUAUGAUCGCAGAAUUAUUCCUGAUUUAUAUGAAUUUGGAGUAGUUCACCGAGGCAGUUUUGCAGCUGCAAAUUAAGGUGGUACCACGGUUAGACCCGUCCUUUUA